rnacentral:rRNA from 1 species
UACGGAGGGGGCUAGCGUUGUUCGGAAUUACUGGGCGUAAAGCGCGCGUAGGCGGACCUGCAAGUCGGGGGUGAAAGCCCGAGGCUCAACCUCGGAACUGCCUUCGAUACUGCGGGUCUCGAGUCCGGGAGAGGUGAGUGGAAUUCCUAGUGUAGAGGUGAAAUUCGUAGAUAUUAGGAAGAACACCAGUGGCGAAGGCGGCACUCUGGGCCGGAACUGACGCUGAGGAGCGAAAGCGUGGGGAGCGAACAGG